rnacentral:rRNA from 1 species
AUGGUAGUGAUGUUUUGGCCCUCCCAAGGGAUGAGCUUCAUGGCCACCUUGUCUUUCAAAAAUUGGAAGUCCACUUUUUCAAGUUUCCAAACCGAAAACGGGAGACCCAAAUAUCGCAUAGGGAAGGAUGUCUUCGCGGCCGGCAAGCUUCAGAGAAUGCGAUCCAUAUUAAUGUGGUUGCACCGGAUGGGAACUACCGAGCUCUUAUGGACGCUGGUGCACAAGCCCGUGACUUGGCCGAAGUAUUUGAGGAUGCCGGAAAGAUUGCCAAUGUCAUUUUUGAUCGGUACCAUGAACACCGCCGCAUCAUCCGCAUAUAGAGAGGUCCACACCAUGGCGCCCCCUUGCUCGUGGCCAAUUGGAGGAUCUUCUGUAGAGGGUCAAUAG